GGUGGCUCAGUGUUAGAGUGCUUGCAUGGCAUGCAUGAAGCCCUGAGUUCAAUUCCUCAGCACCA
rnacentral:tRNA from 1 species